UGGGGAAUAUUGGACAAUGGGCGAAAGCCUGAUCCAGCCAUGCCGCGUGUGUGAAGAAGGUCUUCGGAUUGUAAAGCACUUUAAGUUGGGAGGAAGGGCAGUUACCUAAUACGUGAUUGUUUUGACGUUACCGACAGAAUAAGCACCGGCUAACUCUGUGCCAGCAGCCGCGGUAAUACAGAGGGUGCAAGCGUUAAUCGGAAUUACUGGGCGUAAAGCGCGCGUAGGUGGUUAGUUAAGUUGGAUGUGAAAUCCCCGGGCUCAACCUGGGAACUGCAUUCAAAACUGACUGACUAGAGUAUGGUAGAGGGUGGUGGAAUUUCCUGUGUAGCGGUGAAAUGCGUAGAUAUAGGAAGGAACACCAGUGGCGAAGGCGACCACCUGGACUGAUACUGACGCUGAGACGCGAAAGCGUGGGGAGCAAACAGGAUUAGAUACCCUAGUAGUCCCUGAGCGGGCUGGCAAGGCGCAU
rnacentral:rRNA from 1 species